GUGCCAGCAGCCGCGGUAAUACGUAGGGUGCAAGCGUUGUCCGGAAUUAUUGGGCGUAAAGAGCUCGUAGGCGGUCUGUCGCGUCGGCUGUGAAAACCCGGAGCUCAACUCCGGGCCUGCAGUCGAUACGGGCAAACUGGAGUGUUGCAGGGGAGACUGGAAUUCCUGGUGUAGCGGUGAAAUGCGCAGAUAUCAGGAGGAACACCGGUGGCGAAGGCGGGUCUCUGGGCAACAACUGACGCUGAGGAGCGAAAGCGUGGGGAGCGAACAGGAUUAGAUACCCUGGUAGUCC
rnacentral:rRNA from 1 species